UACGGAGGGGGCUAGCGUUGUUCGGAAUUACUGGGCGUAAAGCGCGCGUAGGCGGCUUUGUAAGUUAGAGGUGAAAGCCCGGAGCUCAACUCCGGAAUUGCCUUUAAGACUGCAUCGCUAGAAUCAUGGAGAAGUGAGUGGAAUUCCGAGUGUAGAGGUGAAAUUCGUAGAUAUUCGGAAGAACACCAGUGGCGAAGGCGACUCACUGGACAUGUAUUGACGCUGAGGUGCGAAAGCGUGGGGAGCAAACAGG
rnacentral:rRNA from 1 species